rnacentral:lncRNA from 1 species
CAAACAUGUGUCCAGCAUGUACCUCAGAGCUGAAGAAGUUGUGUUUAGUGCCAAACUCAUGUACGCCCUGAUGGAAACAGCUUAAGGAAGAAAAUCAGCUCCCACCAGGUUCUUCAUCAAACAGCAGAAGAACCUCACCAAAGACCAAUCCAGUGAAGUUGCCUAUCUUAGACUGUCAACUUCUAAUACUGUGAGAAAGUGCAUUCAUUCUCCUGGGGAAAGAAACGAAGACCCAGUGAUGUAGAAGCCGCCAGGACCACAAGUGCUACUGUUCUUUCUCGUGUGCUGUUUUCUUUCUGUGAACUCUGAGAUGCCACUAAUGAGAAUAACCAAUUACUACAUCUGUUGACCAAGAGCAGGCUCCGCUGCCCAUUAACACAGCCUUCUCUGGCCAGUCACUCUAAUGAGAAACUGGGUAAUUGCAGGACUCUUGGUCAAUAGUUGAGAAUUUUAGUUUAUGUUGAAUUUACAGCCAGAAGUGCAUUUGUUUUGAUGUUUCAAGCCUAAUUAGAUUUAUUUUAUAUAUAAAGAAAUGCCGACUUUUUUUUUCUUUUUGUGACCCCAAAUUCUAGAUAUAUUAUGUACAUCAAAGAAUAAGAGAUUGAGAUGGAUGCUCCAAAUAUCAUCUGCUUCGAGUCAGAGAUAACUAUAUCCCACUCAUUCCAGGAAGUCAACCAGCC